rnacentral:rRNA from 1 species
GAUGAACGCUGGCGGCGUGCCUAAUACAUGCAAGUCGAGCGAACAGACGAGGAGCUUGCUCCUCUGACGUUAGCGGCGGACGGGUGAGUAACACGUGGAUAACCUACCUAUAAGACUGGGAUAACUUCGGGAAACCGGAGCUAAUACCGGAUAAUAUAUUGAACCGCAUGGUUCAAUAGUGAAAGACGGUUUUGCUGUCACUUAUAGAUGGAUCCGCGCCGCAUUAGCUAGUUGGUAAGGUAACGGCUUACCAAGGCAACGAUGCGUAGCCGACCUGAGAGGGUGAUCGGCCACACUGGAACUGAGACACGGUCCAGACUCCUACGGGAGGCAGCAGUAGGGAAUCUUACGCAAAGGGCGAAAGCCUGACGGAGCAACGCCGCGUGAGUGAUGAAGGUCUUCGGAUCGUAAAACUCUGUUAUUAGGGAAGAACAAAUGUGUAAGUAACUAUGCACGUCUUGACGGUACCUAAUCAGAAAGCCACGGCUAACUACGUG